AUGGCGGCCAAGGUGGCGUCCCCGCUCCCGUUCCGCCGCGACCUGCGGGGCCCGCUCGGGCGGCGGUCGCCCAGGAGCGGGCUGCCCGGCGCGCUGGCCGGGCUGGGCUGGAGCGACGGCUCCCGCAGGCUCGUGGCGCCGGCGUGGCCGGCGCGGGCGCGCGGGAGGAACAACCGGUCCGGCGGACGCGGCGCGACCAAGGAAGAGGACGAGCGCGCCGAGGAGGCGGAGGAGGCGGAGGCCGUGCUGAUCAUCGACGGGGAGGAGGACGACGAGGAGUUUGGCGACGACGAUCUGUCCGGGUUCAGGGGGCUCGUUCUUGAUCUCUCCUACAGGCCUGUCAAUGUCGUCUGCUGGAAGCGCGCGAUCUGCCUGGAAUUCAUGGAGAAGGCCGAUGUUCUGGAGUACUACGAUCAGACGGUCUCCUCUCCCAGUGGGUCCUUCUACAUCCCCGCGGUUCUCAGGGUUCCACAGCUGCUGCAAGUUGUGAAGAGGAGAAGGGUCAAGCACUGCCUUAGCCGGAAGAACAUACUCUUCAGGGAUGGGUUCAGUUGCCAGUAUUGCUCUUCUGAAGAUGACCUCACAAUUGAUCAUGUCAUCCCGGCCUCGCGUGGCGGCAAAUGGGAAUGGGAGAACCUGGUAACUGCAUGCUCUAGAUGCAACUCCAGGAAGGGUAACAAGACGCUACUGCAAGCAAACAUGAAGCUACGCAAGAUCCCCAAGGGGCCUAAGGAAUUCGACAUCAUCGCGGUGCCCUUGACGAAAUCCGCGUUCAGGACGAUCAGGAGGAGGCACGGCCUGCCUGAAGAGUGGCUGCAGUACCUUGCCGGGCCAUCUCCAUGA
rnacentral:rRNA from 1 species